AGUUCUGCAGACAGGUGAGCAAAUAUUUGUAGCAACCCCAUCCCCAUUCCACCCCAGGUCCCUGUAUCUCCACAUGCUGGCACCAUUCUCAAAUGUUAGUGUCUUUCUUUAUUUCUUCCAGCUGUUAUGACAAAGCUUUCCCUGCUGGGUAACAUAAUUACAUUUCUGGUCACCACUGGUAUUGGAGAUCAUAUAUUCACUAUGUGUGCAGAAGGAAGAAAUGUAAAAAUAACACGUGAUCUUUCUGACUUCUGGUCAUAAUGUUAACUAUAUAACAAUGUAACAUUUUGAGAGCAAAAACGUGAUAUUUUCAUUCAUGUAUGUAUUGCAUCUAUUUCUCCUCCCCCCCCCCAUCUAGCAGGAUUUAGUUCUGUCUAAUGCUGAAAUUUACUUGUAGCAGGUCUCUUUAAGUAUUAGUUGUUCAUUAUUGCUACUGGGGUUCGUUUUCAUUGCUAAUGAAUUAAUCUAGAUGCUCUAGGUAGAGGAAACCACAAAAAGACCUGAUUAAGCAAGUGUUUCCUCUUCCCUGGCUUGGAGUGAUGCUAAGUGCAGAAAACAUGAGAGAAUAUUUAGCUGGCCUAAGAAAAAUGUGCAAACUUAAACUAAUGGUUUUUCAGUGCUGCCUGUCUGCCAUUAUUGUGCAUUUAGGACACCCCAAUAAACUGCAAUGUAUUUUCUGGGUACCAGGAAUUACUUAUUUAAAUCUAAGCCAGCUAUAGUUCGAAAACACCUGCUCACACACUAUUGUACCUGACAUGCAAAGACAAGUUGAUUUCCAUCAUGUCCGUGUCAGUUUCCCAACAGGUAAAAACUGGCAUCAUUCCUUGGCAGGAGUUGCAAGCUAAAUUAUUGUUCUGGCUGAUCCCUAUGCUGAAGCGAUCCCACACAGGCUUUUUCUACACCCUGGAAUAAUCAGCAAAAUUGCAAGCAGUUAUUACUGUAAAUUCAUCUGGUUGUGCAGAAUGACUCAUUAGAUUUAGACUCUAUGGCAUUGUGCUGUUCGAAGUAUAACAGGUGCAUCUGAAGGCAGUUCUCACCAUCUGCAAAGAAUGCCUUGAAGGAUUAAGGCGAGCUUAAGCACUGUGAUUUUCAUGAGCAUUGGUGGUAGAAGGAUAGGGGAUGGGGACUCCCAAAGGUAUUUGAAGAUUUAUAUACUUGUUCAAACAACUGAGCCCAAACAGGUAUGAGGCAUGAUUCAGCUAAGUCAGGUGCUGUUGAAAACAUGUUGAUUUCCAGCUAAGAUUUCUUACCUCUCUCUUCUGAAAUCAGUUGCACUCUGAAAUCAAUUGGCUGAAUUGCACCAAAUAAUGGUUAAAAUUGUCUUUCGGCCAAAUAAUGUUUAUUAGUGUGAAUUUCUCCAACUAGAGAGUCUUUUAUGAAACUUGGCACACAUUUUUUGCAAAGUGAUUUCCCAUUAUAUAAUGCUUUCUCAAGCAUGCCAUUUUCACUAAUAUAUGUGGUUUAUGCACACUUUAUCCUAGUAUGUGCAUUUUUUGUAUACAUUACUUGGCCAGAGAAUUGCACUGUUAGAUGCAAGGAAGUGUACAUUUUGAAGGAUGUUUGUGUUUUGGUUUACAAACUGUUUCAAAAAGUAUGAAUUAGGUAGGUUCAGCUAUAAAUGCAAACUGAGUUGAAUUUCUCCUCCAUCUCUAGUGUAUUUUGCCUAGAUUAGUGACCACCAGAGACAGGGCCUUCUCUGUGGUAGUCCCAUGGCUUUGGAAGUCUGUUCCAGUAGCAAUCUGUUACUCUUCAGGAUUUUUGAAAAGCUCCAAAGAUGUUCUGGUUUUGAUUGGCCUUUCCUUGAGUAGGCGCCAUCUAUUUGCUAGAGUGGAUUAUGGUAUAAAGGAUUUGAAUGGGUUUUAUUAUUUUGUGUGUGUUUUGUACUAUUUUGUAAUAUAAAUGCAGCUUUUAUUGUUGCAAACUGCUUUGGAUAGACUUUUCACAUAGCAACCAUGACUCUCUUUGCCAAUUUGAACCGAGAUGUGAUUAAUGAGAUUACUCCAGAGCAAGCAGUCUGAGGAUGAAGCUCUCAUUUUAUUGGAAAUAAGUUUCCAAAGAACUCUGAAGGUAUUUUUUCACCUCCAAAUAAAUGUGUUUAAUCUGGGCUCCAGUUAUUUAAGUGGAAAAGCCACUUCACACCUAACUGUGACUUUUUCAUUUUGAUUCCUCCUUGAGCUCUGACUGUGUAUGACUGGCUGUGCUUAACUUAGAAAGAAGGUGUUGCAGCGUUAGACUAAAGCAGGGUUAUGGGCAACACUUUGAAUUUGAAAAGAUGUAAAGAAAAGAUCAAAGUCUGUUAUGUUAAUUUUACAGCAGCUAUAGUUAGCCACCAGUCAGCUGCUUCAAUAUGCAUUUUAGCAAUUAUUGAAGAGUGACAUUCCAAGGGUUUCUUUCCUCCAGCCAGUGUAUGAACUGGUCUCUUAGAUUACUUUUUAAAGCAUGGUUAAAGAUAUGAUCAGAACUACAAUGGUUAUGCAAACUAGGGAGAAGAGGUAUGAGUGGCAUUUGGCUAUUUAUGGCUAACAGCAUUUGGUUCUGCCUGAUUCUGUGGAAUAGCAGCCAAGUCUUCUAAAUCUGACUGACCAUUCAGGAUGUCAAUUUCAUGCCAAUCUGUCCCUUAAAUCUUUUAUUGCUGCUUUCAUUGCUGUAUGGAAAGAGGACCUUUUACUGAAUAAUGGAAGAGACAACCAAUCAGGUGCCUUGCCACCAUCUCCUAUUUGGGGGGCUGUAGAAGAGGGUGAAUAGUUAUUGUAAAAAUGGUAACUCUUCUUUCAAAUGGACCUGAAAACACUGCUAUUCUUUGCCACAGUUCUGACAGAGCAGAGAACUCACUGGAUAAAACAUAACUGGCACCCUGAUCCUAUUGAAUUAUUUAUUGUUUCAUCAAAGUUUUUCAGAAUGCAGUGUUUUCCAGCACCCACUCUGUUGUUGCAAAUCUAGAGUUAGUGAACGUUAGAAAUUAGUAAAAUGGCAGAAUUUUGAUGACAUUUGGAGUAUUAAAGGGAAGAUGCCAGACCAGUGGAAAAAAGUACAGGCUAAGUUUCCUUUUCAGACCAGGGCGGCACUUGGGAUUGAGGCCAUUAAGCAUGACAAAAGGUGUUGAUGGCUCAUCACAGAGAAGUCCUUGGGUCCCUUGGCAACAGUCGGUUGCCAAGGUUAUCCUGAGCGAUGAUGUAGGUUGCAGAAAAAUUGUCACCUUUUAAUACUAGGCUUGGGAUAGCAGACAGAAGGGGAGGAGUUGUUUGGCAAGGGGUUUUCUGGGAACAAGAAGGAGGAAGUUGGUGUAACUUGAUGCAGGGGCUGAAGGGCAGAACCAUCCAGACGGGCUGGCAGGCAGGCUGGGACAGAGACACAGAAAUGUCUGGGAAUCGGAUGCUGUACUCCUGAGGGGAACAAGCCCCUCUUGAGAUGUGAAUGCCGUAAACUCUGCACUCCAUCCACUGAAAGCUUCCAGUGUAAAUACAUGUAGGAUAAGCUAUAUUUCUUAGAUACAACAGUCUGCGCUGCGUCUUGAUUUCCUACAGAAACACAACCCUGGGUAAGCGCCUGGAAUCUUGCUACCACUUGGCAGAGAUUGGGGAUGGCACGAAACCUUUGUAACACUAUUUAUCUUUACAUGUGCCCCUCUAAAGCCAUGUUCUAGAAUACAGGCAACUCUCCACUUAUGUGGGGCUUACAUUCCAGGCCCCUGUGAGCAGAAGAGAAAUGUGUGUUAAGUUGGGAGCCUGCUGCAAUACAUACAACUUCCCACCCAACAGCUGUUGAGUUGGGUAGCAUGGCAGCAGCAAGAGAUCCCAUGUGCCAUUUUGGAGCCCUUGGAAUCUCCCCGCCCCCCACUGGACAUUUGGCUCACAGACGUUCUACAGAAUUAGACCUGCAAUGCUGAAUGCUUCUGGUGGACAUGAGCCAUGCAUCUGAGCCAUGGGAGACCACUCACAAAGCCUCCCCAAAGGUCAGUAUAAUAGUAGAAAGGCAAAGACAAACUCUGUUCACACACAAAAAUAAUAAGAAUCAUGAAAUUAACAGCAAGUUUUAGAGUUAUGAAUUAAAAUACUUUAAAAACAAG